rnacentral:rRNA from 16 species
GGAUGUGAUCAUACCAGCACUAAAGCACCGGAUCCCAUCAGAACUCCGAAGUUAAGCGUGCUUGGGCUAGAGUAGUACUAGGAUGGGUGACCUCCUGGGAAGUCCUCGUGUUGCAUUCC